CCUACGGGAGGCAGCAGUGGGGAAUUUUGGACAAUGGGCGCAAGCCUGAUCCAGCAAUGCCGCGUGAGUGAAGAAGGCCUUCGGGUUGUAAAGCUCUUUUGUCAGGGAAGAAACGGUGAGGGCUAAUAUCCCUUGCUAAUGACGGUACCUGAAGAAUAAGCACCGGCUAACUACGUGCCAGCAGCCGCGGUAAUACGUAGGGUGCAAGCGUUAAUCGGAAUUACUGGGCGUAAAGCGUGCGCAGGCGGUUUUGUAAGUCUGUCGUGAAAUCCCCGGGCUCAACCUGAGAAUUGCGAUGGAGACUGCAAGGCUAGAAUCUGGCAGAGGGGGGUAGAAUUCCGCGUGUAGCAGUGAAAUGCGUAGAGAUGUGGAGGAACACCGAUGGCGAAGGCAGCCCCCUGGGUCAAGAUUGACGCUCAUGCACGAAAGCGUGGGGAGCAAACAGGAUUAGAUACCCUGGUAGUCCACGCCCUAAACGAUGUCUACUAGUUGUCGGGUUUUAAUUAACUUGGUAACGCAGCUAACGCGUGAAGUAGACCGCCUGGGGGAUACGGUCGCAAGAUUUAAAAACUCAAAAGGAUAAGUUCGGACGUGNGAGAGCGACGACGACGACGACGGAGGGAGGAGG
rnacentral:rRNA from 1 species